rnacentral:rRNA from 1 species
GUGCCAGCCGCCGCGGUAAUACCGGCAGCCCGAGUGAUGGCCGAUCUUAUUGGGCCUAAAGCGUCCGUAGCUGGCUGCGCAAGUCCGUCGGGAAAUCCACUCGCCUAACGCGUCGGCGUCCAGCGGAAACUGUCCGGCUUGGGGCCGGAAGACUCGAGGGGUACGUCCGGGGUAGGAGUGAAAUCCCGUAAUCCUGGACGGACCGCCGGUGGCGAAAGCGCCUCGAGAGGACGGACCCGACGGUCAGGGACGAAAGCUAGGGUCUCGAACCGGAUUAGAAACCCUAGUGGUCC